UACGUAGGGAGCAAGCGUUGUCCGGAAUCAUUGGGCGUAAAGCGCGCGUAGGUGGCCUCAUAAGUCCGCUGUGAAAGUCAAAGGCUCAACCUUUGAAAGCCGGUGGAUACUGUGGGGCUAGAGUACGGAAGAGGCGAGUGGAAUUCCUGGUGUAGCGGUGGAAUGCGCAGAUAUCAGGAGGAACACCAAUAGCGAAGGCAGCUCUCUGGGACGUAACUGACGCUGAGACGCGAAAGCGUGGGGAGCAAACAGG
rnacentral:rRNA from 1 species